rnacentral:rRNA from 1 species
AAAGUCUUUUGUGAAAUUCUUCAGCUCAACUGGGGGUCCGCAAAAGAAACUUCUAGGCUUGAGGGAAGUAGAGGUACAGGGAAUUUCCGGUGGAGCGGUGAAAUGCGUAGAUAUCGGAAGGAACACCAAUAUGGCGAAGGCACUGUACUGGGCUUUACCUGACGCUAAGAGACGAAAGCUAAAGGAGUGAUUAGGAUUAGAUACCCUAGUAAUUUUAGCCGUAAACGAUGGAAACUCACUGCCGAGCCGGUAUUCGGAGCGGUGGUCAAGCUAACGCGUGAAGUUUCCCGCCUGGGGACUACGCAUGCAAAUGUGAAACUCAAAGGAAUUGACGGGGACCCGCACAAGCGGUGGAGUAUGUGGUUUAAUUCGAUGCAACGCGAAAAACCUUACCAAGGUUUGAAAUCAUUUCAAAACUCUUUGAAAGAAGAGCCUCCUUCGGGAUGGAAUGACAGGUGGUGCAUGGCUGUCGUCAGCUCGUGUUGUGAAAUGUCAAGUUAAGUCUUGUAACGAGCGCAACCCAUGUCUUUUGUUGCUGUUUACAGUGCUUAAAAGAGACUGCCGCUCUACAGCGGAGGAAGGUGUGGAUGAUGUCAAGUCAGCAUGCCCCUUAUAUCUUGGGCUACACACGUACUACAAUGGUAGGGACAAUGAGUCGCAAACCUGCGAAGGCUAGCCAAUCUCAAAAACCCUAUCUCAGUUCGGAUUGUACUCUGCAACUCGAGUGCAUGAAGGUGGAAUCGCUAGUAAUCGCUGGUCAGCAUACAGCGGUGAAUACGUUCCCGGGUCUUGUACACACUGCCCGUCACACCAUGGAAGUCGAUCCUUCCCUAAGUCGUUACUCGAACCUUUUAGGACGAGGAUGCCGAAG